UACGUAGGGAGCAAGCGUUGUCCGGAUUUAUUGGGCGUAAAGAGCUCGUAGGCUGUUUGGUAAGUCGGAUGUGAAAACUCCGGGCUCAACUCGGAGACGCCAUUCGAUACUGCCAUGACUAGAGUCCGGUAGGGGGGUGUGGAAUUCCCAGUGUAGCGGUGAAAUGCGCAGAUAUUGGGAGGAACACCGGUGGCGAAGGCGACCACCUGGACGGUAACUGACGCUGAGGCGCGAGAGCGUGGGUAGCAAACAGG
rnacentral:rRNA from 1 species